CUGCACAGCUGGGGUUGCUCGGCGGCAGGAGUGUCCUCACUCUCCUGUGCCCUCCCGGCCUCUGCCUGUCGGGUGGGGGGGCAGGGAGCGCAGGAUCCUGGGCUGUGUCCCCCAGUGCCCUGGGAUCCAGGGUCUG
rnacentral:miRNA from 1 species